rnacentral:rRNA from 1 species
UACGAAGGGGGCUAGCGUUGUUCGGAAUCACUGGGCGUAAAGCGCACGUAGGCGGAUGUGUCAGUCAGGGGGUGAAAAUCCCGGAGCUCAACUUCGGAACUGCCUCUGAUACAGCACAUCUUGAGUCCGGAAGAGGUGGGUGGAAUUCCUGGUGUAGCGGUGAAAUGCGCAGAUAUCAGGAGGAAUACCAAUUGCGAAGGCAGCUCGCUGGGACGUUACUGACGCUGAGACGCGAAAGCGUGGGGAGCAAACAGG